rnacentral:rRNA from 1 species
AACGAACGCUGGCGGCAUGCCUAACACAUGCAAGUCGAACGAGACCUUCGGGUCUAGUGGCGCUCGGGUGCGUAACGCGUGGGAACCUGCCCUUAGGUUCGGAAUAACUCCCCGAAAGGGGUGCUAAUACCGGAUAAUGUCUUCGGACCAAAGAUUUAUCGCCUUUGGAUGGGCCCGCGUUGGAUUAGCUAGUUGGUAGGGUAAAAGCCUACCAAGGCGACGAUCCAUAGCUGGUCUGAGAGGAUGAUCAGCCACACUGGGACUGAGACACGGCCCAGACUCCUACGGGAGGCAGCGGAGGGGUAUAUUAGACAAUGGGCGAAAGCCUGAACCAGCAAUGCCGCGUGAGUGAUGAAGGCCUUAGGGUAGUAAAGCUCUUUUACCCGGGAUGAUAAUGACAGUACCGGGAGAAUAAGCUCCGGCUAACUCCGUG